ensembl:lncRNA
GGUUUCAAUCACACUCUCUAGCUCUGCUUUGCAGUGGCCACCCUGAUCCCAGCGAGGCAGUUGCUCCUUGUGCUCUCUCUGACAGAUCUCUGGGCACCGAACGCUGCAAUGACGAUGGCUCUUGGUGCCCCCUUAGCUGGCAUGUGUGGCUCCUGUUCGCUGCGGUGCACAUGGCAUGAGAACUCCCCAGCAGCUUUGAGGAAUGCACUUUACUUUCCCUUUACUGUUUUGGAUUAAUUACAGGGGACAAAGAAAGCUGUCUUUUCUCUCGUGGUGCUUCUCUGGCAGGUAUCUGGGGAGGGUCACAUCUCCGAAAGUGUGAUGUUGCCUUGCUCAAUACCAGCAGGAGUGCUACUGAAAAAGAGUGAAAUUAAUUCCAGCCCAUCUAGAUAUUUUAAGGAUCAAAUACAGCGUUGGAGGAUAGGUGCAGCUCUGAGCUGACUUUUGUAGAAUCAAGAUCCAGCCCGGUGAGCUCUGCUAAUAGCAGAGGAUUUCCCCGGUUACAUCAGGCUGUUGGAUCAUUAAUUACUGCAUUAGUUGCUGGGCUGAUCUGAAAGGCCCACGCUCCCCCUUUAAAGGCCUUGCUGGAAAUUCGGUGUCAGCACCGACUUGGCAAUUAGUGCCUAGUAAUUGAUAGAGCAGCACCAGAGAAACAAAACUAAACCUGAUGCCCUGACAGGAGAAGUUUUGCUUUGCAUUAAUGUAGGCUGCUCCAUUUUUGUAUUUCGCUGACUGCGCCUGGCAUGCAACGUGACCGCUCACCGCCCCAGUCCUGUGCGUUCGCCUCUCUUUCCACUCCCAGGGCAGGGCCAAUUGACCUUAGCGUGAAGGAGACUCGAGCCCCAGGGCUGUAAGUGCCUGAACCUGGGCCGGUGCCAUCRGGUGCUUUUCCCAGCAGCGGCUCAGGGAGGUCCUGGGCUCCUGACUCCUGGCUUUCUGCCUCCGCGGCGCCCAGCACUGUCACCUCAGGAGCAGAGCUGCUCGCUGUGGACCACAAAGGGACUUCCCUGUCUAUUGACGAGGGGAAUAUUUCCCGUUUCCUCACUCUUGAAUCUGCUGACAGCAUCUCUGGGCAACCAUUAGUCACUUCUUCCACCAGACCCGCAGCAGUGUCCACCCCGGGAACGGCCCUGAGGAUGUGGCUUGGCGGUGAGUCCUGCGCCGGCUUUAUUCACUGUAAAUGCAUACGUAGAAAGGGAUCGGCAUGGGGCACAAAAGAAGGAAGCGGCAGCGUCGUGUCGUUGCAGCCACCCGAGGUUUCCAUACGACUGCGUCCAUCUCUCCACUGGGAAGUCAAAAGGUUGGCAGAGAAAAGAUGCUAUAAAUCAGGCAGAUAUGGACUGUAGGGAGGAUCUAGUUUAUGCAAUUUUUCAUCUCAAAGCAUGUAAUUAAAGAAGCGACCAUUACAGGAGGAACAACCACCGCCUGUUUUUCUUAGGACUCUCAGAGUUUGGCAAUGUAAACAUUUAGCCCUUGAGAAUUUUAUUGCAUAAAAUAGUUUUUGUAAUGCUGAUGUUAUGCUGCUUAAUUGGAUUUGUGUUUGUUUUACUUCAAGAAUUCCAGGAAAAAUAGCGGUAUCAUUUGAUCUGAUACAAGGUACUAGCAGCAUACCUGUAUUUUUAGGGUCUCAAAGCUUAUCGUAAUGAAUAAAUGCAGGAAUUGAAUAAAUUUUGAUCUUUAU